UGGCGGACGGGUGAGUAACGCGUGGGUAACCUGCCCCAUACAGGGGGAUAACAGCCGGAAACGGCUGCUAAUACCGCAUGCACAUGCGGGGGCGCAUGCCCCUGGAUGGAAAGCUUUCGCGGUAUGGGAUGGGCCCGCGUCUGAUUAGGCAGUUGGCGGGGUAACGGCCCACCAAACCGACGAUCAGUAACCGGCCUGAGAGGGCAACCGGCCACAUUGGGACUGAGACACGGCCCAAACUCCUACGGAAGGCAGCAG
rnacentral:rRNA from 1 species